GUGGCCACGAGUGACCAGUGGUCACUUUGGAAUGAGCAGCAGUGACCAAUGGUCACUCUGAGGUGGUCAGUGACGGUCAGUGGUCACUCUGGGUGGUCAGUGGUCACUUUGGGGUGGUCAGAGAUGGCCUGGAAUGGUCAGGGGUCACUUUGGAGUGACCAGGAGUGACCAAUGGUGGCCUUAAAGUGACCACUGGUCAUUUUACAGUGACCAGGAUUGACCAUUGGUCACUCUGACAUGGUCAGUGGUCACUUUGGGGUGGCCAAGAGUGGCCAGUGGUCAUUUAGAGUGACCAUGAAUGACCAGUGGUCAGUUUGAGGUGGUCACUGAUGGUCAGUGGUGGGCAGUGGUCACUCUGAGCACUCAGUGGUCACUCUGGGGUGCUCAAGAUGACCACAAGUGACCAAUGGUCACUCUGCAGGGAUCAGCGGUCACUUUGGGGUGGACAAAGGGGGUCAAGGGUGGCCUUGAGGUGACCGCAGAGUGACCAAGAGUGACCACAGGUGGUCAGUGAUGGACACAAAGUGACCACAGGUGGUCAGUGGUCACUUGGGAGUGACCACAGGCGGUCAUUGGUGGACACAGAGUGACCACAGGCGGUCAUUGGUCACUCUGGAGUGACCACAGGUGGUCAUUGGUCACUUUGGAGUGACCACAGGUGGUCAUUGGUCAGCAAGAGAUGACCAGGAGUGACCACGGCGUGGCCAGAGUUGGCCAGUGGUCAUCAGCAGUGGUCACUGGUGGUCAUUGGUCACCAGGGAUGGACAAGGGGUGACCAUGGAUGGUCAUUGGUGGCCGUAGUCACCAAGAAUGACCAUAAAUGACCACAGAUGACCAGAGGUGGUCAUUGGUGGCUGUGGUCACCAAAGGAUGGACAUUGAAUGACCAUCAAUGGUCACAGAUCACCAAAUUAUGGACAUUGGAUGACCAUGGAUGGUCAUUGGUGGUCAUUGGUCACCAAAAAUGGACAUUCUUGACCAUGGGUGGUCAUUGGUGGUCACUGGUCACCAAAGAUGGACAUUGGUGACCAUAGGUGGUCAUUGCCCACCAAGGAUGGACACUGGAUGACCAUAAAUGGUUGUAGAUCACCAAAUUAUGGACACAGGAUGACCACGGAUGGUCACUGAUGACCAUGGGUGGUCAUUGGUGACCAUGGUCACCAGGAAUGGACGCUGGAUGACCGUGGAUGGCCAUUGGUGGCCAUGGUCACCAAAAAUGGACAUUGGUGACCAUGAAUGGUCAUUGGUCACCAAGGUUGGACACUGGAUAAUCAUGGGUAGUUACUGGUGGCUAUUGUCACCAAAGAUGGACAUUGGAUGACCACGAGUGGUCACUGGUGGCCGUGGUCACCAAGGAUGACCAUAAAUGGUCAUAAACCACCAAAUUAUGGACAUUGGAUGACCGUGGAUGGUCACUGGUGGCCAUGGUCACCAAAAGAUGAACAUUGGAUGACCAUAAAUGGUCAUAAACAACCAAAUUAUGGAUGCUGGAUGACCACGGAUGGUCACUGAUGACCACAGAUGGUCACUGGUGACCAUGGCCACCAGGAACGCCGCCGUCUCAGCUGAUGUAGACGCAGUGGAAGUCGUGGUCACCAAGGAUAACCAAUGGGUGACCAUGGGUGGUCAUUGUCACCAAGGAUGGACAUUGGAUGAUCAUGAAUGGUCAUUGGUGACCAUGGUCACCAAGCAUGGACACUGGAUGGCCAUGGGUGGUCACUGGCCACAAAGGAUGGACACUGGAUGACCAUGGAUGGUCACUGGUGGCCGUGGUCACCAAGGAUGGACACUGGAUGAUCACGAGUGGUCAUUGGUGGCCGUGGUCACCAAGGAUGACCAUAAAUGGUCAUAAACCACCAAAUUAUGGACAUUGGAUGACCACGGAUGGUCACAGAUCACCAAAAGAUGGACAUUGGAUGAGCAUAGAUGGUCACUGGUGGUCAGUGGUCACCAAGAACGACCAUAAAUGAUCACAGAUGACCCCUGGCCACCAUGAAUGACCAUUGUCCUUAUGGUGGGUCAGCAAGGAUGGACAUUGCUGACCAUGGAUGGUCAUUGGUGAUCAUGGCCACCAAAACAUGGACAUUGGGUGACCAUAAAUGGUCAGAGGUCACCAAAUUAUGGACACUGGAUGACCAUGCAUGGUCACUGGUGGCUAUGGUCACCAAAGAUGGACAUUGGUGACCAUGGGUGGUCAUUGGUGGCCGUGGUCUCCAAGAAUGACCAUAAAUAACCACAGAUGACCAUAAAUGACCAACAAUGACCCCUGGCCACCAGGAAUGACCAUUGUCCUUGUGGUGGGUCACCAAUAGAUGAACAUCGGAUGACCAUAAAUGGUCAUCAAUCACCAAGGGAUAAACAUUGGAUGACCACGGAUGGUCAUAAAUCACCAAAUUAUGGACAUUGGAUGACCGCGGGUGGUCAUAGGUGACCACGGAUGGUCACUGGUGACCACGGAUGGUCACUGAUGACCACGGCCACCAGGAACGGCGCCGUCUCAGCUGAUGUAGACGCGGUGGAAGUCGUGGUCACCAAGGAUAAACGAUGGGUGACCAUGGGUGGUUAUUGUCACCAAGGAUGGACAUUACUGACCAUGGAUAGUCAUUGGUGGCCAUGGUCACCAAGGAUGGACAUUGGUGACCAUGAGUGGUCAUUGGUGGCCAUGGUCACCAAGGAUGGACAUUGGUGACCAUGAGUGGUCAUUGGUGGCUGUGGUCACCAAGAAUGACCAUAAAUGACCAUAAAUGACCAUAAAUGACCACAGAUGACCACUGGCCACCAUAAAUGACCAUUGUCCUUGAGGUGGGUCACCAAGGUUGGACAUUGGAUGACCACGAGUGGUCAUUGGUGGUCAUUGAUCACCAAAGAUGACCAUAAAUGGCCAUAAAUCACCAAAUUAUGGACACUGGGUGACCACGGGUGGUCAUUGGUGGCCAUGGUCACCAAGACUGGACAUUGGAUGACCACGGGUGGUCACAGAUCACCAAGAGAUGGACAUUGGUGACCAUGGAUGGUCAUUGGUAGCCGUAAUCACCAGGAAUGGACAUUGGAUGACCCUAAAUGCUUGUAGAUCACCAAAUUAUGGACACUGGAUGACCACCGGUGGUCACUGGUGGCCGUGGUCACCAAGGAUGACCAUAAAUGGUCAUAAACCACCAAAUUAUGGACAUUGGAUGACCAUAAAUGGUCAGAGAUCACCAAAUUAUGGACAUUGGAUGACCACGGAUGGUCACUGGUGGCCAUGCCCACCAGAAAUGGACACUGAAUGACCAUGGAUGGUCAU